rnacentral:lncRNA from 1 species
UCUCUCCCAGCCCAUCACUCCUUAUCCUGUGAGUACAAUCAUCACUUUUUUCCCCUAGCAGCUCAUGCCUGCUGUGACUUCAGGUAAAUCCUCCCAUGUCCUCACCAGUCCACAGCAAAUCUGUGAAACACUGUCAUCUCCAAAGAAGACUUUCUCACAUUGGUAGACUUUUACAAAGUCUGAGUUUUAAGUGGAGGUUCAACCCAGGUCCUUAUGUGUAACGGAAAAUCAGUACAUCACUAAGACACACAUGGAUGCUACAAGGGUGUGGUCCCUACAUGGAAAGUGACCC